UAGGGAAUCUUCGGCAAUGGACGAAAGUCUGACCGAGCAACGCCGCGUGAGUGAAGAAGGUUUUCGGAUCGUAAAACUCUGUUGUUAGAGAAGAACAAGGACGUUAGUAACUGAACGUCCCCUGACGGUAUCUAACCAGAAAGCCACGGCUAACUACGUGCCAGCAGCCGCGGUAAUACGUAGGUGGCAAGCGUUGUCCGGAUUUAUUGGGCGUAAAGCGAGCGCAGGCGGUUUCUUAAGUCUGAUGUGAAAGCCCCCGGCUCAACCGGGGAGGGUCAUUGAAAACUGGGAGACUUGAGUGCAGAAGAGGAGAGUGGAAUUCCAUGUGUAGCGGUGAAAUGCGUAGAUAUAUGGAGGAACGCCAGUGGCGAAGGCGGCUCUCUGGUCUGUAACUGACGCUGAGGCUCGAAAGCGUGGGGAGCAAACAGG
rnacentral:rRNA from 1 species